rfam:Glycine soja cultivar W05 scaffold208_13, whole genome shotgun sequence.
UGGCUUGUGAUGAUAAGCUAAUUAUCUUAGCGGAUUUCAGUGAGAUUUCUAUCUAUGAUCUGAUUGUUACACACACUGAAGCCA